rnacentral:rRNA from 1 species
AUUGAACGCUGGCGGCAGGCCUAACACAUGCAAGUCGAACGAGUGGCGGACGGGUGAGUAGUGUCUGGGAAACUGCGCGAUGGAGGGGGAUAACUGCGGGAAACGGUAGCUAAUACUGCAUAACAUCGGUUGUGCCCAGAUGGGAUUAGCUAGUAGGUGGGGUAACGGCUCACCGAGGCGACGAGCCCUAGCUGGUCUGUGAGGAGGACCAGCCACACUGGAACUGAGACACGGUCCAGACUCCUACGGGAGGCAGCAGUGGGGAAUAUUGCACAAUGGGCGCAAGCCUGAUGCAGCCAUGCCGCGUGAAUGAAGAAGGCCUUCGGGUUGUAAAGUACUUUCAGCGAGGAGGCGUUACUCGCAGAAGAAGCACCGGCUAACUCCGUGCCAGCAGCCGCGGUAAUUC